rnacentral:tRNA from 1 species
UUAACCGAAACCAAAAAAGAGGUAUAUUACUGUUAAUAAUAUUAUUGAAAUUACUUUCCGGUUAAA